AACGCACAUUGCGCCCGCCAGUACUCUGGCGGGCAUGCCUGUCUGAGCGUCAUUUCAACCCUCGCCCCCGGCUUCUGUCGGGGACGGUGUUGGGGAUCGGCCUCCCGUCUUCCGGGUGGCCGGCCCCUAAAUUGAGUGGCGACCACGCCGUAACCUCCUCUGCGUAGUAGUUAAACACUCGCGGGCGGAGAGCGGUGCGGCCUGCCGUAAAACCCCCAACUCUUCUAAGGUUGACCUCAGAUCAGGUAGGAAUACCCGCUGAACUUAA
rnacentral:misc_RNA from 1 species